GAUGAACGCUGGCGGCGUGCUUAACACAUGCAAGUCGAACGGAAAGGCCACAGCUUGCUGUGGUACUCGAGUGGCGAACGGGUGAGUAACACGUGGGUGAUCUGCCCUGUACUUCGGGAUAAGCUUGGGAAACUGGGUCUAAUACCGGAUAGGAAUCACAUGUGGGUGUGUGGUUGGAAAGCUUUUGCGGUAUGGGAUGAGCUCGCGGCCUAUCAGCUUGUUGGUGGGGUAAUGGCCUACCAAGGCGACGACGGGUAGCCGGCCUGAGAGGGGGAACGGCCACACUGGAACUGAGACGCGGUGCAGACGCCUACGGGAGGCAGCAGGGGGGAAUAUUGGAAAAUGGACGAAAGCCUGAGGGAGCAAUACCGCGUGGGUGAUGAAGGACUUAGGGUCGUAAAGACCGUUAGUUAGGAAAGAAAAAAAGAAGAAUAAUACCACGCUGUGCUGACGGUACCCAAAGAAAAAGCAACGGCUAACUUCGUG
rnacentral:rRNA from 1 species